GCUGGGAUUCGAGGCUGGGGCACAGGGGGCGGGGCGGAGGCGGGGCUGGGGCACGGGGCGGGGGCUGCGGGCCCAGUUCCAAGAUGCCGAGAAAGGUCCCGGAGGAGCAGCCUUGAGCGGGGCCUGCGGGGGCUGCGGCGCUUCCCAGUGGCCCCGGGGUCCGGGCGGCCGUAAUCCGAGGGAGCUAGAGAGGAGAAGGGGGGGGGCGAAGGAAGCAGGGAGGGCUGGAGACCCCGGGCCAUUUGCUGGGGCUUCUCUGUGCUUUCCGACGGGCCCGGGGCUGCCCCGGCUGCCCUCUGUCCGGGUGCGGGCGCUUGGGAGUCUGAAGACUUGGGUUCAAAUCCUUUCCCAUAUGAGCCUGCGGCCAGUCUGUGCCUGUUCCCCAGCCCAGAGGCCCCCCGCGGUUGCUUCCGGCUCUCAGUGCGGAGCGGGGCUGCGGCCGGGUCGGGGCUGGGGCCGGUCGGCGCUGGGAGAAGCGCAGAGCUUCCCUUCCUGCCUGCUGACCGCCCCGCCAGCUUUGCCUGCCGGGAAACCGAGGCUCCCGGAGAAAGGGCUUUGGCCAAGCCCGGCCGGGGAAGGAGGCGGGAUCGCUCCCCAGGCGCCGCUACCACUGCGGGGGGAAGCUGCGGGGAUGCAGGGAAUGGAAACUGAGGCCCCGAGGGAAGGGGCCGCCCCCAGGUCCCACAAGCGGGGCGCUCUGCUUAGUAUUUCCUAGUCAUUAGGAGGGGAGCCCGUGGCUGGCGGAACAUCCGCAGGCCCUUCUCCCCUGCGCCCUGUUUCGCGCCGGGGAAAGAUCUGUGGGGGGAGGAUGGAAAUUCCGGAGCUCCGGAAUGUGGGAAGAAUCCCCGCCCCCCCCCCUCCCUGGAAAGUUCAGAGCUGGGGCCAACUGCCCCCCCAGGGGGAGGAGGAGGGACAGAUCCGAGCGCGGAGCCGCCCCAGCCUCAGGGUCCGGCCCUCUGUCAGGGCUCCCGCUCCCAGUCCUCUGCGGCCUGCUGGUCAGUCAGCAAACAUCCGGGCCCUCGGGCCUCCUGAUCCCGCUCUGGCCGCAGGCGGCUCUGGAGGGGAAGCGAGCCAGGGACCCCGGCCGGCCCUCCCUCCCUCCCACUUGUCGUGGUACCACAGGACAAACGGGACAACUGAGGCCCGUGCAAAGUCGGGGCCACCCCAAGAAAGGCCUCAGCCCCUCCCUGCAGGAGCUUAGCAGCCAGAGAGGCUGGAAGGAAAUAAUCACCAGAGGGGAGCCCCACAUAAGGAGGGGCCGCAGCAGAGAGAAAAGGGGGAGGACGUCCACACAAUUAUUUGUAGCAACUUCCGUGGCGAGUGGAAGAAUCGGAGACCUGGGGAAGCCCAGGAGCCGGGGACGCCGGACACGCUGCGAUCCGUGAAGGUGAUGGAGCACUCUGGUGCUAUGAGAAAUGCCCAGAGGGACGGGUCAGGAGAACCACUAUCGAGUGAAGGGAGUGGAACCGGAGAUUCCCGCGGCAAUAACGGAACAAGACUCCUCUGGAAGGACUGGUCCCGAUCAGACAACGAUCCACGCCAAUAGCAAAAGACUCUUGAUGACAGAUGCUCUCCCUCGCCCCAGAACCGAUGAAUCCUGAGUAUAGAUUGUUUCUCCUGCUUUCCUUAUUUUCUUGCUUUUUCCCCAUGAAACAUGGCUAACAUUCUGUUCUUGCCCUCUUGCAUUUUGUUUUCCUUCCUAGGUUCUUUUUACCUUCUUUCUAAAUCUGAUUUUUCUUGUGCAACAAGAGAACUGUCUAAAUAUGUCUACAUAUAUUGGAUUUAACAUAUACUUUAUUUUUUUUUCAUUUUAAAGCUUUUUUUUUUUUUUAUAGCUUUUUAUUGACAAAACAUAUCCACGGGUAAUUUUUCAGCAUUGACCCUUAUAAAAACUCUGUUCCAACUUUUCCCCUCCUUUCCCCACCCCCUCCCCCAGAUGGCAGAUUGACCAAUACAUGUUAAAUAAGUUAAAGUAUAUGUUAAUGUUUGGA
rnacentral:lncRNA from 1 species